CUCUGAAUAGCUCUGUUGGUAGAGCAUGGGAUUCUUAAUCUCAGGGUCAUGGGUUUGAGCCCCACAUUGGACA